CGAUUGAACGCUGGCGGAAUGCUUUACACAUGCAAGUCGAACGGCAGCACGGGGCAACCUGGUGGCGAGUGGCGAACGGGUGAGUAAUACAUCGGAACGUGCCCAAUCGUGGGGGAUAACGUAGCGAAAGUUACGCUAAUACCGCAUACGAUCUACGGAUGAAAGCGGGGGAUCGCAAGACCUCGCGCGAAUGGAGCGGCCGAUGUCAGAUUAGGUAGUUGGUGGGGUAAAGGCUCACCAAGCCAACGAUCUGUAGCUGGUCUGAGAGGACGACCAGCCACACUGGGACUGAGACACGGCCCAGACUCCUACGGGAGGCAGCAGUGGGGAAUUUUGGACAAUGGGCGCAAGCCUGAUCCAGCAAUGCCGCGUGCAGGAAGAAGGCCUUCGGGUUGUAAACUGCUUUUGUACGGAACGAAACGGUCUGGGUUAAUACCCUGGGCUAAUGACGGUACCGUAAGAAUAAGCACCGGCUAACUACGUG
rnacentral:rRNA from 1 species